rnacentral:rRNA from 1 species
GUGGGGAAUUUGGGACAAUGGGCGCAAGCCUGAUCCAGCAAUGCCGCGUGCAGGAAGAAGGCCUUCGGGUUGUAAACUGCUUUUGUACGGAACGAAACGGUCCUGGUUAAUACCCGGGGCUAAUGACGGUACCGUAAGAAUAAGCACCGGCUAACUACGUGCCAGCAGCCGCGGUAAUACGUAGGGUGCAAGCGUUAAUCGGAAUUACUGGGCGUAAAGCGUGCGCAGGCGGUGCUGUAAGACAGGCGUGAAAUCCCCGGGCUUAACCUGGGAAUUGCGCUUGUGACUGCAGUGCUGGAGUGCGGCAGAGGGGGAUGGAAUUCCGCGUGUAGCAGUGAAAUGCGUAGAUAUGCGGAGGAACACCGAUGGCGAAGGCAAUCCCCUGGGCCUGCACUGACGCUCAUGCACGAAAGCGUGGGGAGCAAACAGGAUUAGAUACCCCAGUAGUCC